rnacentral:rRNA from 1 species
UCGCUUUGGGAGGAGCUCGCUUACUAUCAGCUUGUUGGUAGGGUAAUGGCCUACCAAGGCUAUGACGGUUAGGGGGUGUGAGAGCAUGACCCCCAGCAUUGGCACUGAAACACUGGCCAAACACCUACGGGUGGCUGCAGUCGAGAAUCUUCCACAAUGGGGGAAACCCUGAUGGAGCGAUGCUGCGUGCGGGAUGAAGGCCUUCGGGUUGUAAACCGCUUUUGUAGGGGACGAAAUUUUUGACGGUACCCUUUCGAAUAAGAGGUUGCUAACUCUGUGCCAGCAGCAGCGGUAAUACAGAGACCUCAAGCGUUAUCCGGAUUUACUGGGCGUAAAGCGUCUGUAGGGGGUUUAUUAAGUUCCAAGUAAAAUUUCAAGGCUCAACUUUGAAUUCGCUUGGAAAACUAAUAAACUGGAGUCUAGCAGAGGUGCAUGGAACUUGUGGUGUAGGAGUGAAAUCCGUUGAUAUCACAAGGAACACCAAAGGCGAAGGCAUUGCACUGGGCUAGCACUGACCCUGAGAGACGAAAGCGUGGGGAGCAAAACGGAUUAGAUACCCGUGUAGUCCACGCCCUAAACGAUGAAUGCUAAAUGUUCGGGGAUUCGACCCCCUGGGUGUUACAGCUAACGCGUUAAGCAUUCCGCCUGGGAAGUACGGCCGCAAGGCUAAAACUCAAAGGAAUAGACGGGGAUCCGCACAAGCGGUGGAGCGUCUGGUUUAAUUCGACAGUAAGCGUGGUGCCUCACCAGGGUUUGACAUCCCUUGACAGCCUUGGAAACAAGGUUUCCUUCGGGCAAGGUGACAGGUGCUGCAUGGUCGUCGUCAGUUCGUGCCGUGAGGUGUUCCGUUAAGUCGGGAAACGAACGAAACCCCUAUUGCAUGUUACAAUUUCUCAUGCAAGACUGCCCGGAUAUACUGGGAGGAAGGUGGGGAUGACGUCAGAUCUGCAUGGUCCUUAUACCCUGGGCGACACAGGCGCUACAAUGGCAGAGACAAAGGGUUGCAAAACCGCAAGGUGAAGCUAAUCCCAAAAACUUUGUCUAAGUUCGGAUUGAAGGCUGCAAUUCGCCUUCAUGAAGCUGGAAUCGCUAGUAAUCGUGAAUCAGCCACGUCACGGUGAAUAUGUUCCCGGAUCUUGUACUCACCGCCCGUCACACCAAGAGAGUUGGUAGCUCCCGAAGCGUCCCGUUUUAGCGGGGCAUCACGGAGAGAUCAGCGAU